rnacentral:rRNA from 1 species
GGGCCUAUACUCUGCCGUCAGCGGCAAGCGAGGCGGCAGAAUUCGUUUUCCGUCAUGAAGUCCUGACGAGUAGGAGGGUCGCGGCGGUGUGCGCAGAAGGGUCUGGGCGCGAGCCUGCCUGGAGCCGCCGUCGGUGCAGAUCUUGGUGGUAGUAGCAAAUACUCCAGCGAGGCCCUGGAGGACUGACGUGGAGAAGGGUUUCGUGUGAACAGCCGUUGCACACGAGUCAGUCGAUCCUAAGCCCUAGGAGAAAUCCUAUGUUGAUGCGGUGUAUCAAGUCACAAAGUGUAAUAAUAUAUUUAUAUAUAAAAUACUUAUAAAAUUACGACACACACCCAUCGGGCGAAAGGGAAUCCGGUUCCUAUUCCGGAACCCGGCAGCGGAACCGUAUACAAUUCGGGCCCUCGCAAGAGAGUUCGUCGGGGUAACCCAAAAUGACCUGGAGACGCCGUCGGGAGAUCCGGGAAGAGUUUUCUUUUCUGUAUAAGCGUUCGAGUUCCCUGGAAACCUCUAGCAGGGAGAUAGGGUUUGGAACGCGAAGAGCACCGCAGUUGCGGCGGUGUCCGGAUCUUCCCCUCGGACCUUGAAAAUCCAGGAGAGGGCCACGUGGAGGUGUCGCGCCGGUUCGUACCCAUAUCC